rnacentral:lncRNA from 1 species
UCAACCCACCUAUCCGAUAACCAAAAAAAACUUACAAAUUUCACGAAUUUAAGCAUAACAUCAAAAAUAGUUUGAAAUUCAUGCAUCCAAAUAUAAUUAAAGGGAAAAAAAUACCCAUAACCCAUCUUCCCAAAAGUAAGCCGGUCAUUGGAGGGGCUUUCCAUUAGCAUUGGCAAAAAUUAUUUCCCAGAAACAAAAGGGAUAAGCCUGAAAGAGGAAAGCAGAUUUAGGAGAAGAAUGGAAUGUGCCCAAAAAAAAAAUAAAAAAACAAAAAUCAUCAAAGAGAAAAUGCCCUUAUAUCGAAGUGGGAUACUGACCCUUUUGAAUCCGCGCAUUAAAUAAUCCAAACUACCCACUUCUUUAUAUUAAUUUACUAUAUAUAGAAAGAGUUUCUUGAUGGAUAAUGCAUCUAUAUGGAAAGCGGAAAACGUGGGUAGGGAAUGGGUGACAAAGGGGACAAGGCGCCGAGGAAAUGGGCCAAUAAGAUUGAAAGCAAU